rnacentral:misc_RNA from 1 species
CAUGAUCAAAGUGCUAUCCUUGUAAGAUUCUUCACUUAGGGUAUCCAACUCUGAAAUAGCUUCAUCAAAAGCUUGCUUUGCCAGGUGGCAGGCCCUGCAGAAAAAAUAAAAAUAAAAAUCUGCGUGAAAGGAAUCUAUUUGCAUGAGCACCUCACUCAUAUAAGCACAAGUAUUUUGCUUACCUUUCAGGUGAAUUCAUUAUCUCAUAAUAGAAGACAGAAAAGUUAAGAGCCAAACCCAAUCGAAUGGGAUGGGUAGGAGCUAAAUCACUCUCUGCAGUUGUUAAUGCAGUCUGCAAAAACCAAAAUAUAUAUGAAGUAGAAAUUGUAAAAUCAAACUUAUUCAUUAGAAAGAGUGAAGUUGUGAAGAAACAAAGAAAAAGAAAGGAUGAAAUAGGGAAAUACAUAUGCAAAAACAAGUCACAAUUUCCCUUCACCUUCUCGAACCAAACUACAAAGUCCAUAAAUUAUGUAUUAAAAAAGGAGUUAACACAUUGUGGCUCUCCCUUUUUCUACUGACUUAGUCUUUCAUUCCAUGGCUAUAUUAAGUUAAGAAUCCCAAGUCAAACAUGAAGGAUUGAGUGAAGAAUGCUCAAUAACAUGGAUGCAAAUGGAAAGAAACUAAUACCAGAACAAUUACAUUUAAGAACAUCUUCCCAAAGGAGAGAUACAUAUUGACGAUCCAAAAUGUUCUUGUGCAUAAUUCAAACAGGAAACAUUAAAACUUAUAACACUUAUUGAAAAUAGUUACUUUCUUCUUUCUAGAAUUCAGAGUUUAGUUAGAAUAAUCAUACAGUACAAAGGCAAAACCUCAUUUCUUCAUUGCCCCCUCCGCUAACCCAAUAAAGAAUAUAAGUAAAUGCUUUACUUGCUUGCAAGAAAACAAAAUGGUUUUAAAAGAGAAGUCCUUCAAACAGGCUGCACACAAAAAAAAAUCCAAGAAAAUACAAAAAGAAGCAGUGAUAACUAGAAAAUUUCAAUUUUCCCAGCAAUUCAAAGUUCGUAUAGAACCAUUUACGAUCACUGAACCAGUCCGAAUAAAUGAACGAAAACAUUGGCCCACCUACUAACAAUCAAGAAGUUUCACUCAUGCACAUCUAUGCAUUAACAAGGGGGAAAAAAUCCAAAACGGCAAGUAAACCGUGCAAGUCGUAAAAUUUAAUCAAACCCAGUAACAAAUCCUGGAAAACAGAAGGAUUAGUACCUACCUGGUAUGCCUUAAGUGACUGAUCAGCUGUCUCUUUCUUCUCAUUACCAGUUUGGAACUCAGCUAGAUACCGAUAAUAAUCACCUUUCCUGAGCCAAAUCCAAAACCCAGUAGCAUAAUUCCAAAGUCGCAAUUAAAAAUCACAGCAUCAAAUAAAAAUAAACAAAUCCACCCCUCACAUCUUAUAGUAAAACACACUAGAUUCCAUAUCACAAGAAGGUAUAAGAUGCUCAUCCAUCAGAGUCAUAAUAUCACUGCAAAUGGUGGACAACUCCGACUCCACCUUGUGCCUGUACUCCUUAAUCCUCUUCACAUUAGCCUCAUUCCCUUUCGACUCUUCCUUCUGCUCCAACGACGACAAGAUCCUCCAAGACGCCCGCCGUGCGCCGACCACAUUCUUGUAACCAACAGACAGCAAGUUCCUCUCCUCGACAGUCAACGCACCAUCAAGCUUCGCCACUUUCUUCAUCUCCUCCACCAUUUCAUCGUAGCGCUCGGCUUGCUCGGCAAGCUUGGCGACGUAGACGAAGGACUCGCGAUCCUUAGAGGAAGAAGCCAUGGAUGAUCUGUUAUGGGACUGCAAUACGGGGGGCUUGCUCCAGGUGAAGAGAAAAUGGAGAGAGCAGGAAAGUCCAAGAGAAUUUUUU